AGUACUUGUCCCUGAAUAACUCAACUCCAGGAUGUCUGCAAAGAUUUUUGUAGAAGUUUUCUGUUGCAGGCAAUGAAAAUUACACCAAACAGAGCAAAGCAGAGCACCCUUGCUGAAGAUGUCCUUGCCUCUGUUCCUGACUAUGUAUGAGCUGACCAAAUCACACUCAGCCGAAAAGACUGGAAGUCUCUGCCCUUAUCUUCAUUGAUUUUGCCUUCCAGAGAAGAAAGCAUCUUGCUCACAUCAUUCAUUGCAGCUGCAAUGCUGUCAACCUUCUUCUGUAGAAAAGUCAGUUUCGUCUCUUGACUGCUAA